UCCCUGGUGGCCCAGUGGAUAAGACUCUGUGCUCGUAAUGCAGGGGGCACAGGUUCGAUCCCUGAUUAGGGAA
rfam:TPA: Bos taurus chromosome 19, whole genome shotgun sequence.